UACGUAGGGUGCAAGCGUUAAUCGGAAUUACUGGGCGUAAAGCGUGCGCAGGCGGUUUUGUAAGUCAGAUGUGAAAUCCCCAGGCUUAACCUGGGAACUGCGUCUGAUACUGGAAGGCUCGAGUUCGGGAGAGGAAUGUGGAAUUCCAGGUGUAGCGGUGAAAUGCGUAGAUAUCUGGAGGAACACCGGUGGCGAAGGCGGCAUUCUGGACCGAAACUGAUGCUGAGGCGCGAAAGCCAGGGGAGCAAACGGG
rnacentral:rRNA from 1 species